ACGCACGCUGGCGGCGUGCUUCACCCAUGCAAGUCGUACGGUAAGGCCCUUUCGGGGGUCCCCGAGUGGCGAACGGGUGAGUAACACGUGAGUAACCUGCCCACAACUUUGGGAUAACGCUAGGAAACUGGUGCUAAUACUGGAUAUGUGCUCCUGCUGCAUGGUGGGGGUUGGAAAGCUCCGGCGGUUGUGGAUGGACUCGCGGCCUAUCAGCUUGUUGGUGGGGUAGUGGCCUACCAAGGCGGCGACGGGUAGCCGGCCUGAGAGGGUGACCGGCCACAUUGGGACUGAGAUACGGCCCAGACUCCUACGGGAGGCAGCAGUGGGGAAUAUUGCACAAUGGGCGCAAGCCUGAUGCAGCAACGCCGCGUGCGGGAUGACGGCCUUCGGGUUGUAAACCGCUUUCAGCAGGGACGAAGCUUUUUGUGACGGUACCUGCAGAAGAAGCACCGGCGAACUACGG
rnacentral:rRNA from 1 species